CUAAAUUAAUAAUUUUAGUAAAAAAAGGACUUUAUUAAUAUAACAUCAAUUGUUUAAAAAUGUUUUUAGAAUAUUCUAAAAUUUGAAUAUCAAUUUAGAAUGAGAGUUAUAAUUUUGAGAUGUUUUGUGCAAUUUACUCGUGUAUUUACAUACAGCGCUCCUUUAUGCGACACGUGUUUGGUGACGUGGUUGUUUACCUUGGCUGGCGCUUCAUUUCUUCUUCUUCUUGUUCACCCCAGCCAUAGCUAAAGCAAAUUAAAAAAAAAAAAAUUAAAAAAAAUCCUCUCAGCUUUUGUUCAGUUUUUGAGUAAAGAUUAAUGCAGUCUUUUUGACUAUUUUGUUGAAUUAUUCUUUCGCAGAGUGAAAGAUUUUCGGAUUUUUCAUAUUUUCAAG
rnacentral:lncRNA from 1 species